rnacentral:lncRNA from 1 species
UGGUCAGGUAGGUAGGUGGAUGAGCAGGUGGCUAGGUGGAUGGUUAGGUGGAUGGAUAGGUAGGUAGGUGAAUGAGCAGGUGGCUAGGUGGAUGGUUAGGUGGAUGAGCAGAUGGUUAGGUGGAUGGGUAGGUAGGUAGGUGAAUGAGCAGGUGGCUAGGUGGAUGGGCAGGUAGGUAGGUGGCUGAGCAGGUGGCUAGGUGGAUGGUUAGGUGGAUGGGUAGGUAGGUAGGUGAAUGAGCAGGUGGCUAGGUGGAUGGGCAGGUAGGUAGGUGGAUGGGUAGGUAGGUAGGUGAAUGAGCAGGUGGCUAGGUGGAUGGGCAGGUAGGUAGGUGGAUGAGCAGGUGGCUAGGUGGAUGGUUAGGUGGAUGGGUAGGUAGGUAGGUGAAUGAGCAGGUGGCUAGGUGGAUGGGUUGGUGGAUGGAUGGAUGGGUAGGUGGUUGGGUAGAUUGGUGAAUGGGUGGAUAGGUAGGUAGAUG